AUAUUUGUUUCAAAAAGUCUUAUAACACCCAACACCACCUGCAUCUUCAUCUAUACUUCUAACUGCUGUCAAGUGUGUUAAACUUUACCUGACAACACUUUUAGUUUUGUAAACGUCUUGAAUUGCAAAAUAAUAAAAUAUUUUUUUCAAAUUUAUUUGAAUUUCCUUUAAAUGAAUAUUUUUUUUUUUCAUUUAAAUUCGCAUUUUAUACUUAACGUACGUUUGUGUUUUUAUCUCUAGUAUGAAAAACACUUGGCAGUUUUCUUAGCUACAGCUGUGUAAAAGUUGCUAAAAGUUGUCGUAGUAACUAGUAUAUGGUUACAGCAAACAAACCAAAAAAAAAGUAAACUUUUACAACGUCAACUAUAGUAGUAAAGCUACAAUAAAGCUAAAACUAAUCUGAUAAAACUAAAACUACAGUUUUCUCUUUAACUGUGUUGUGGUUGCGAUAACAAUCAUUUACGAUUUAAUUUUAUGGGUGAUCUUUAAACUGGCUUUAAAUGAUCUAAAUUUCAAAAAAAAAAAAAAAAUUGGAAAGUAAAAAACUAUCAUGUAAAUUGAUUUGAUCAAAAAGGUAAGAAAGGUUGAAAAAAAACUA